AGAAUCAACGCUGGCGGCGUGCCUAACACAUGCAAGUCGAACGAGAAAGUGGAGCAAUCCAUGAGUAAAGUGGCGCACGGGUGAGUAACACGUGACUAACCUACCCUUGAGUGGGGGAUAACCUAGAGAAAUCUGGGCUAAUACCGCAUAAUACCUUCGGGUCAAAGGAGCAAUUCGCUUAAGGAGGGGGUCGCGGCCGAUUAGUUAGUUGGCGGGGUAAUGGCCCACCAAGACUAUGAUCGGUAUCCGGCCUGAGAGGGCGCACGGACACACUGGAACUGAAACACGGUCCAGACUCCUACGGGAGGCAGCAGUGGGGAAUUUUGCGCAAUGGGGGAAACCCUGACGCAGCAACGCCGCGUGGAGGACGAAGUCCCUUGGGACGUAAACUCCUUUCGAUCGGGACGAUAAUGACGGUACCGAGAGAAGAAGCCCCGGCUAACUUCGUGCCAGCAGCCGC
rnacentral:rRNA from 1 species